GACCGCGUAGCUCAGUUGGCAGAGCAUUGGGCUAGUCUCCCAAAGGUGGUCGCCGGGUUCGAUUCCCACCGUGGUUA